CUCAGGGCACAGACCCGUGGGGUGUUGGGAAACCUGCGUGAGGCCAAGGACUUGAGUUAGACACUGGACGGGGACUCGUGAGACGGCAGCGUGGCAGGGACAUGCUGUGGGUUUUGAGUCAAACAGACCUGGUUUGAAGAACUGUCUCAGCUACUAGCUAGUUACCUCAGCCCUGGCAAACUCCUGCAGCUCCCAAAGCCUCUGUUUCCUCAACUGCAUAGUUCAGGAGAAACGUAGGAAAUGUCUCAGCUCACAGCAUCUGAGUCAGCGGGAGAUACUGGGUUUCAAGAAGGCCCAGGUUGCGAGAGCUGUGACGUGAGGCUGCCAGAAGCUUCCACCUGCUCCGACCUUUGCACAGGUUUGUGUGCCAGCUUUAUUCUCUCUCUCUCUGCAAACUGGCUUCUGCUGUGAUCAGCUGGGCUUCCGUCAGAGCAGCAAAACCAAGGACUUUGAUUCUGGAGCCGUUGCAUAACGUCACUUUCUAAGGGGGCCCAACCUCCCACCAUCAGUCUGCCUCGCUGAACUGCUCCUGUUUCCGAAGCAGCCCCGCAGGAGUCUGGUUCUCUGCUGCGGUGCUGGGUCUUCGAAGAGAAAGCAAGGGCAUCUUCCAUCGCCGGGUAAGCGUUUGUCCUCACAGCUGGGCUUUCUGCAGUUCACCACUCCCCCACGCGUUGGCCUCUACCCACCUUUCCAGAAGCAUUCCUGCUAGCCCUUCACAUCUAGCCCUUCACAGCUAACGCUGCACAUCCCUUCUCCCAAACAUCCCGGGGCUGCACUGCCUCUUGGAAACUCCCUCCCAUCCAGCUCCCUGUAGCUGCAGACAAAUAGAUCCUUCAAGUCAAAUUCCAACACCUCCAGAGAGCCUCCGGGGUUGUUUGCAGUUAGAAGAGGCCACACCCUUCUCUUCCCCACUGUACCUGACCUGCACGUUUCCUAGGGCACGGCUCAUGGGCUGUUUGCUGCGUGUCAUUUGCUCACUGCCCUGGUUUCAACACUACUUUCACCAAGAGCACCCAUGACCCGAUGAACCUGUCUGUCCAGUCCGAGGCUGGUGGACAUGGAGUCUCACUGCCUUCAGCCACGGGGGUGUGGUCAGCAGACAGAGCUCAGCUCUCGGCUCCUUUAACCGAGCAAGAUGGGGAUUUAACAAUCCAGCCAAUUCAGCCCAAGAUGGACAACUCUACUGAACAAUGUUCCCUCUUGGCCAAAGUUUUGUGGGGCUGGUAAUGCAGUUCCACUUUCCCGUCUGCUCCAUCCUGCCUCCCCUCACUUCCAUUCACAGGUGUUGAUCACCGCCAAGCAUCUUCUACCCAAACUCCAACUCAGCCAGCAGCGCUGGGCCUUCUCCUGGGCUUCUUCGUUUGCUCUUUCAUUCGGCAAAUCUUGAUCCAGCCCUGGCCACGUGCAGACACCGUUCUGAGCAAUUGAAAUUUGGCAGCAAACAAUGUGGGACUUAAAGACCUGUGGGGAGAGAGACUAGAAACAAGCAAAUAAACGAAAAAGAUACUGUAAAUGCUGUGAGAAUGGACAAGUAAUGGAUCAGAGAGUGACUUGGAGGUAACCACCCUGGAUGGAGGGAGCGUAUGGAAAAGCUUCUCUGAAGAGGAGAUGUUUGAUCCAAGUGCUGAAGGUGGACAAGGAGCCAGCCAUGGGAAAUGCUGUUGUAUCGGGUUAUUUUUGUCUAACUGCCCUGGACAUCUCACCAAAUGCUCCCAGGUCCCAAGUGGCCUCCCCUGUCCCCAGUCCUUACUACACUCCUCUGCCUGUGUUCAUGACCUCGGGGGACGCCACGCCUGUCCACCAGGCACUCAGCCCAGAUCCUUGCAGUCCCCCUGCCCCCUCCCUGUCCCUCAUCACCAGGUCCUGCUGCCACCAAUCUUCUGGGGCGACCACACCCCCAAGCCAACCGCAGGCUGCCAGCACCUGUCAUCAGCUCUUGCAAUACUCACCUGACAGGUUGCCCUUCUCCAUCUUUCACUAUCCUUCUUGCUCUUCUUUUUUUUUGAUACAAUGUUCUUUUUUUGUAAAUUAAAAAAAAUUUUUUUUUUUGGC